CCAGGCCCGCUCAGCUGCUUUGCUUUGCCCCAGGGUGAGAAGUCUGGGAAAGCUUGAUAAUCAGGUUGAUCACAGAAACCUGUUCCAACUCUCAGAGUCUAAAAGUACCUCCUCCUUUUCUUUCCUGGGGCACUUAUUCUUUCCAGAGGUGAAACAAAGACAUUCCAUCAGGUGAAAACUACUUCUCCCCAUGUCCCUAUGGUUCCAUUCUAACAAAGAGCCACCCAGAUGGAACCUGGAAAGUUCAGAGGCCUUGACCUUGCAGCAAGGUGUCCAGAGUGAACUGUAGCAGAAGAGGCAAAAGAACUCAAGACAACUUUUUUUAAAAAAAAGAAUGAUUUGGCAUCAUCCUCUGGACUCUGUUUCAUGAUCAACUAAGAACAAGCUCAUUUACCAUCUGGUCACGAAUUGUACCUGCAGGUGUUUCCAAACAUAGCAGGAAAUUUUUUCCUUAGAACAUACUUGAAAAGUUCUCAAGUUUUUUUUGUUGUGCCAUUUUUCCCAUUGUCGACUGUUGCCUGAAUCUUUUCUUUACAUUUUUACUUAUUUAUAUAAUAGUGCUGACAAUCACACAGCAGUGCUAUCUUGUGCUAUCUUGUCCCUCAU
rnacentral:lncRNA from 1 species